GUGUCGAUAGCUCAGUGGCAGAGCAGUAAGACGGUACCCUACUGGCCCUGUGAUCGAUUCCCGGUCGGCGCC